rnacentral:rRNA from 1 species
GACGAACGCUGGCGGCGUGCUUAACACAUGCAAGUCGAACGAUGAAGCCUAGCUUGCUAGGUGGAUUAGUGGCGAACGGGUGAGUAAUACGUGAGUAACCUACCUUUAACUCUGGGAUAAGCCUGGGAAACUGGGUCUAAUACCGGAUACGACCAAUCUCCGCAUGGGGUGUUGGUGGAAAGCGUUAUGUAGUGGUUAUAGAUGGGCUCACGGCCUAUCAGCUUGUUGGUGAGGUAACGGCUCACCAAGGCGACGACGGGUAGCCGGCCUGAGAGGGUGACCGGCCACACUGGGACUGAGACACGGCCCAGACUCCUACGGGAGGCAGCAGUGGGGAAUAUUGCACAAUGGGCGCAAGCCUGAUGCAGCGACGCCGCGUGAGGGAUGACGGCCUUCGGGUUGUAAACCUCUGUUAGCAGGGAAGAGGAGAGAUUGACGGUACCUGCAGAGAAAGCGCCGGCUAACUACGUGCCAGCAGCCGCGGUAAUACGUAGGGCGCGAGCGUUGUCCGGAAUUAUUGGGCGUAAAGAGCUUGUAGGCGGUUUGUCGCGUCUGCUGUGAAAGGCCGGAGCUUAACUCCGUGUAUUGCAGUGGGUACGGGCAGACUAGAGUGCAGUAGGGGAGACUGGAAUUCCUGGUGUAGCGGUGGAAUGCGCAGAUAUCAGGAGGAACACCGAUGGCGAAGGCAGGUCUCUGGGCUGUAACUGACGCUGAGAAGCGAAAGCAUGGGGAGCGAACAGG